rnacentral:lncRNA from 1 species
UUAUUUGGUUGCAUGUAAACAUAGCCAGUGAAACGGUUUUUAACAUUGUCAAUGUCUAACCUUGAUAGGUCGGUCUUAUCCUCCGCUCCGCUUUCUUCUUCUUCUUCUCUCCCUCCAUUGUCCUCUCUUUCUUCUUUCGAAGGUUCUGACUCCUUAACAAGAUCCACAAAGACUGGAGUGGGCAGUUCCUCUUCUUUCAUCUUCUCAAAAAUGUCUACCUCCUCUUUAUCCUUUUUCAUUUUACGUCCUCCUUUUCUCGGAGGAGUAGCAGGAGUAGGUGGGCUCCUCUUUAAGACAGACACGGGAACACCUCCUCUUCUGGGAGGAGUCGCUGGGGCAGGACUUUUGCGAGUAGGGCUAGAGAGGGCAGGGCUCCUUCUGACUGGAGACAAAGAAGAAGCAGGAGAGAUCGGAAGUGACGGCCACAGUAAACACAGCGCUGUUUCUGUGCCAUGGUGCUCUGCCCACGACCCACUGACACAUUGACACUAUUAGCAGCAACUCCUGCAGGCGGCGGGCACUUAAACACAGGUCUGGAGGGAGCAGUGGGCUGCAGUGUGGAGGACGGGAGGGAGUGUGGAAAAGGGGGAGGAUGGCUGGUGGGUCGCUGAAGUGCUUUUCUUUUAGCAUGUGCAACAGAAGAGGACAGAGCUUUGUGCCUCUUGCGGCGGUGAAGUAAUCGUAUGCGCUUCUCUCCAUUGGCAUCAUCCGAGUCGAGGUCUGAAUCACUGGGCUCAGAGUGAGACAGAGGAGAAGAGGAAGGAGAGAGAGACCAGGAAGGUGUGAGGUAUUCUGAUGCAGAAAGUGGAACUGGGCCGGACUCUUCCUCCUUAGAAAAAAAGCACAUGGAUUUCUAAGAUCUGUUAAAGGGUGAAUAAUCUGGCUUAGCGCUCAUUUUACUUCUGUAACAUAUAUAAAUUACUAUUUUUUUUAAAUGUAAUGACUGAAAGUGAAAAAUGUAGGACAGAACUUAUUUGUAUCCACCUGAAAAUGACUAAACACCACCAACACUCAUUUUGAAGAGGUUUUUGACCAGAAUGUGGAGGCUGAAGGUCCUCAGAAGCAUUCAAACAAUGAUUUUUCUUGUCAAUUAAUUGCUAUUAUUGUCUUAAAGGGAU